GAGGAUUUAGUUAAAAAUAACAUUAGAAUGUCACACUAAAAUUAUCCCAUAUGGGAUAAUCCUCU
rnacentral:tRNA from 1 species